rnacentral:ncRNA from 1 species
CAAGCCCGGGCCUUUGAUACGCCUGUGGAGACGUCGUCGCCUCGAUCGUGGGAUCCAGUACGCGCCGUCUCGGCAUGCUUCGGCACCUGCGUGCUCCGAGCGUCGGCCUGCGGGCUCCCCAUUCGGCCCGUCUUGAAACACGGACCAACGAGUCUGACAUAUGUGCGAGUCAACGGGCUAGAAAACCCGUAAGACGUAAGGAAGCUGAUUGGCGGGAUCACUCACGGGUGCACCGCCGACCUACCUUGAUCUUUUGAGAAGGGUUCGAGUGAGAGCAUGCCUGUCGGGACCCGAAAGAUGGUGAACUAUGCCUGAG